rnacentral:rRNA from 2 species
GGACUACUGGGGUAUCUAAUCCUGUUUGCUCCCCUAGCUUUCGUGCCUCAGUGUCAGGAGUUGUCCAGGGACUCGCCUUCGCCACUGGUGUUCCUCUCGAUAUCUACGCAUUUCACUGCUACACCGAGAAUUCCAGUCCCCCCUCCAACCCUCGAGCAGGAUAGUAUUCAAUGCAGUUUCCGGGUUAAGCCCGGAGAUUUCACAUCAAACUUACCCUGCCACCUACGCACCCUUUACGCCCAGUGAAUCCGAACAACGCUUGGGACCUCUGUAUUACCGCGGCUGCUGGCAC